rnacentral:rRNA from 1 species
UGGGCCGGGUUCUAGGUAUAAGCAAUUUAUACAGUGAAACUGCGAAUGGCUCAUUAAAUCAGUUAUCGUUUAUUUGAUAGUUCCUUUACUACAUGGUAUAACUGUGGUAAUUCUAGAGCUAAUACAUGCUUAAAAUCUCGACCCUUUGGAAGAGAUGUAUUUAUUAGAUAAAAAAUCAAUGCUUCGGACUCUUUGAUGAUUCAUAAUAACUUUUCGAAUCGCAUGGCCUUGUGCUGGCGAUGGUUCAUUCAAAUUUCUGCCCUAUCAACUUUCGAUGGUAGGAUAGUGGCCUACCAUGGUUUCAACGGGUAACGGGGAAUAAGGGUUCGAUUCCGGAGAGGGAGCCUGAGAAACGGCUACCACAUCCAAGGAAGGCAGCAGGCGCGCAAAUUACCCAAUCCUAAUUCAGGGAGGUAGUGACAAUAAAUAACGAUACAGGGCCCAUUCGGGUCUUGUAAUUGGAAUGAGUACAAUGUAAAUACCUUAACGAGGAACAAUUGGAGGGCAAGUCUGGUGCCAGCAGCCGCGGUAAUUCCAGCUCCAAUAGCGUAUAUUAAAGUUGUUGCAGUUAAAAAGCUCGUAGUUGAACUUUGGGCCCGGUUGGCCGGUCCGAUUUUUUCGUGUACUGGAUUUCCAACGGGGCCUUUCCUUCUGGCUAACCUUGAGUCCUUGUGGCUCUUGGCGAACCAGGACUUUUACUUUGAAAAAAUUAGAGUGUUCAAAGCAGGCGUAUUGCUCGAAUAUAUUAGCAUGGAAUAAUAGAAUAGGACGUUUUGGUUCUAUUUUGUUGGUUUCUAGGACCAUCGUAAUGAUUAAUAGGCGGGUCGGGGGGGCAUCAGUUAUUCAAUUGUCAGAAGGGUGAAAUCCUGGAUUUAUGAGGCUAACUACUGCGAAAGC